GCUAAACGCGAAGAACCUUACCACCUUUUGACAUGCCUGGACCGCCACGGAGACGUGGCUUUCUCUUCGGAGACUAGGACACAGGUGCUGCAUGGCUGUCGUCAGCUCGUGUCGUGAGAUGUUGGGUUAAGUCCCGCAACGAGCGCAACCCUCGCCAUUAGUUGCCAUCAUUAAGUUGGGAACUCUGUUGAGACUGCCGUUGAUAAAACGGAGGAAGGUGGGGAUGAUGUCAAGUCAUCAUGGCCUUUAUGUUCAGGGCUACACACGUGCUACAAUGGUCGGUACAAAACGUCGCAAUCCCGCGAGGGGGAGCUAAUCGCUAAAACCGAUCUCAGUUCGAAUUGAAGUCUGCAACUCGACUUCAUGAAGUUGGAAUCGCUAGUAAUCGCAAAUCAGCAUGUUGCGGUGAAUACGUUCCCGGGUCUUGUACACACCG
rnacentral:rRNA from 1 species